GCAUUCCAGCCUGGGCAACAAGAGCAAAACUCCGCCUCAAAAAAAAAAAAAAUCUGUUUGCAGGAACAGAAUCAAUACAAGUCUAGUUUAGAACUGUGCCCCUAAAACAACCUUUUUUUUAUCCUAACAGUACAACCGUACAAUGCUAAUUUAAUAGUAUUUGAAGGACAUUAGGCGUUUGUAAACAUUAACCAAAACUCAGUGAAUACUACCACAUUGUAAACAAUGCCAUUGAUAUGGAAUUUUAAAAUAUAGCCAAGUUUUGGGACAAUUUAAGAAUGCAGAAGUUCAAAAAAUACUUGGUAUAAUCCAAGUUCCUGUUUUAACCACAUAGAAGCCAAGAUUUAAAAAGAGGAAAUGGGGGCAUUGUGUAAUUUAACACGUCUGAAAUUCAAAGAUACAUAUUCAAUUGUCAAAGACCUUCAAGCUCAGAGGAAUGACCCAAAUGGCACAUUAUAUGGGAAGUACAACUCUAAUGACUUUUUAGAGAAACAGAAUGGUUACUUAGAGCAGUCUGGAGUUAAAAGUGCAUAUGUCUUUCCAUGAAGAAAGAUGGUUAUGGAAUUAAACUGAUAUCAUUGUGAUACAAUCACAAUGGCAUCAGCUUAGGACAAAUGACAGCUGAGCCCCAAAGCUAUGGAAAGGGUUGUCCACAGGCACAGACAGCCACGGUGGGCUGGAGCCAGAGCCCUCCUUGGGAAAUUCCAGGGCCCCCACCUCAUUGUGCAUGUUGGAGUCACCUGCUGGGGAUUUCCACCAGAGUUUUUAUUUGGUGAUUAUUUGUGCUGUUGGAUUUUUUUUUUUUUUUUCUGGUCGUUAUGAGUACAUUCCUUAGUAGGUAAAAGAGUUACUUCCAGAAAGGCUGCAUAAAAAGAGUGAAGCUUCGGGUAACACAUUAAACCACCAGAUGAUUAACAUUGGGGAGAACAAGGAGAGCACCUGAAGGUCCCAGAGCUUGGCCUCACUUUGGAAGGGGUAGACAAUGGGGAGCCUAGGUCUGUGGGAGCCCUUAGACAGGCAGGGGUCAGCAGGGUUCUGGGGUGGAGGGAGGGUGGGCUGGGCCACAGGCCAGGUCCCACUUCCCAUGACUGGACUAAGCAGUGAUGCAGAACCUGCCUCCCUGGUAUGUGGGAUGACUCCUGUGCGAUUGUACGCAGUUGUUAGCUUCCUGGUUUCAGAGCUGCUCUGUGCCACAUGGGGUCUCUUGUGGUCACGGAUUUGUCCUUGACCAAGACACAGACGGUUCUGGUUGCCCAUCCCUUGCAAGCAGUUAUGAUUCUCAAAGCACUUUCUGUGCCAGCCACUCCAAAUCCUCCCAGGGCCGGGCUUUGGUGAUCCCUCCACCUGUACUUUUGACAAGACAGAACACAGCUUGUUCCAGGUCAUGCAGCCAGUAAGAAGUAGAGUUGGACAUGGACUGGAGGCUCACCCUUGGAGUCUGUGCUCCUCCCUGUGUCUCAGGAGCUCCCCUCAGUUCCCUGGAACAAGGCUGGAACAUCAAAACGACCUUCUGAAAACUGGCAGGAAAAUGUCAGAAAAGCAAAAUGGAUUGAGGGCAUCUGACAGUUUGUCUUACUAGAGGCACAUCUGGGGGUUAUCCAGGCCAUUGCUGCAAUCACUGAGAUGGGUCUCGAGCCAGGGCACGUGUGUGCUAGGACCCUGGCUCAGUGCCUGUCGCCCAUUGCACGGUGAUGAACCAAUAUACCGAAAUAGCGGGAGAUGCAGCAGAGAAAGAGCCUAAGACUCGUGGGGCAGCCAAGCGAGGAGACGGGAGGAAACCUCAAACCCACCUCCCUCGGGUCUUGGGGAUGGUGUUUUUCAGGGGUCUGUGCAGGUGAUGGGGUCUGAAGUGUGGGGACUGCUGAUUUAUGAAUAAGUGAGGAGUGAAGUCACGGGACGGGGGAUGAAGAACCACAUUCUUGAGCUGAGGCGGUUCCUUUGUGGGGCCUUCAGACCAGUUGGCAUCAGCUGUUCUGCCAGAAUUCAGGGUAUAGGAAACACCUCAAGCAAUUCUUGGCUUAAAAGGUCCAGGCUCAGAGAUUCUACCUCUAGGAAGAAUGGGAAGCAGGUGGUCCAUGUGCUGUGACUCUUGUUAACAGCUGCAGGAAGGUGAGCGCAGUGCCCACUACACCCCAGUCAGUGCCUAACUCCAGUUCUUCCCAAAGCCUGCCUUGGAAUUCUCCGUAACCCUGUAAAGAGGGUUUCACCAAGGCUGGUAUCUGAUCUCUGCCGGACGAGCUACAGGCCAGGGCUUCUGAUUGCCUGGGUCACCCUUCCCAGUCCCUCCUUCCUGAGGGGGCAUCACCACCCUGCACACACCCCUGAAGACCACACCUUGAUGUCGACAACUUGACCUCCAUCUCCUAGCUUUGUCUGGUGGUUGUCAAACUACAGGGUCCGCUGGUAUCCCUGGUGGACCUGCAAAGCCCAGAUUGCUGGGACCACCUGGAGUGCCACUGACUAGCAGGUCUGGGACCAGGUCGAGAAUGCACCUCUGACAAGCUCCCACGUGAGGCUUGGUGCCCAGGUCAGCCUUGGAGAACUGAGGCUCGAGGCCAGCGGGUCCCCACCCUGGCUGCGCAGCAGCCUCCCCGAGGAGCACUAAACACCAGCCACAGCAGCUCUUCUCCAGCAGGGCAGGGGCAUUUAAAGCCCCCAGGCACAGGCUGGGUGGAGGAACAUUGAGCUGGGCAGUGGGCGGUGAUGGAGCAUCCAGCCAUUUCUAGCUCCUCCCACCUGCCCAGGUAAAGGCUCCCAGGCAUGUACAGCAAAAGGUCUCACGCAGUUGGAAGUUUGUGUUUUUUUUGUAUUUUGUUUUUCUCUGUUUUUUUUGCUGUCACCCAGGAUGGAGUGCAGUGGCGCAAUCACAGCUCACUGCAACCUCCAACUCCUAGGCUUAAGCCAUCCUCCUGCCUCAGCCUCCCAAGUAGCUGGGACUACAGGCACGUGCCACCACACUGCUAAUUUUUUUGAAUGUUUAGUAGAGAUGGAGUCUCACUGUUGGAGGCUGGGUCACCAGGAGUGCUGUGUGACUCAGGGUUGAGGCUGAUCUCGAAUUGCUGAGCUCAACCAACCCUCCCACCGUGGUCUCCCAAAGUGCUGGGAUUACAAGUGUGAGCCACCGUGCCUGGCCACAGUUAGAAUUGUAAAGUAGGGGCCUAAAGCAGAUGCCUCCACACAUGCCCAUUUGCAGGUUUGCAGUGGCCCUGGCAAUGUGGCCAGUUUUGCGGCUUGGCCAGACAAACUGAGGGGUUUCCCAGGACAAGAGCCUUUCUGUGCGAACACCGGGACAUUCACCAACUGCAGCCAUGGCCAGCAGCCAGCUUGUGUCUGGAGCUCUCGGGCAGAUCCGUGUGGAGCUUACUGCUGAAUUCUGCUUUGGGGCUGUGAGCGGCUUUGGCACAGCCCAGUUUCCACACUUCCCCUAAAGUGGUAAAGCAGUACUGGCUUCCUCUCCUCUGAGUACCCCAGGUGGAGGCAGAGAGGACUCUGCAGACAGCCGGGGAGAGGUGCAGACACAGCUGGAAGGGAGGAAGAGAGAGCCAGAGGAGAGGUGUAGACUCAGUUGAAAGGGAGGUGUAGACAGCUAGGGGAGGUGUGGACAACCAAAGGGAAGGUGUCAAUGGCUGGAAGGGAGGUGUAGACAGCUGGAGGCGAGGUGUAGAUGGCUACAGGGGAGGACAGGCAGACACCCACUUCCCUGCUUUGCUCCUGCCUUGGCCAGCCUCCACCGAAGGCACCUCUUUGGUGGGGCCACCACACCACACCACAUUUCUGGAAAUGCACCUAGGAUUUGGGACAGGGGCUCAGAGCAGGGCCCUGUGCAGACCAGCAGGUAAGGCAGGAAAGGCGAAAGCAGACCCUGCCCCCUGGUCUGAAGCCAGCCGGUGUGCCUAUGUGGUGGAGGGCAGCAGGCAGGACCACGCCCACUUGCACUUGGCCACCUUGCCAGUUGGGGACAGAGCGGGCACAGUGCCCAGUUUCUAUGGACAGCCUGUAUUGAAGUUUUAUUUUUUUUCCAUACAUAUGGUUGAUUAGCAAUAUAAUUUAUAGGAUGUCGUUUUAUACCCUGACAAGUUUAAAUGUAAAUAAAUUGGCACCACCUUUAAUUAGACUGCUGUCCUGACUUGCACAGGGA